rnacentral:lncRNA from 10 species
CUUUUUGUUCCACAUCAGGGAAUUCACAGGGUAUCCAUUAGAAACCAUAUCACAUUUACAAGGCUCCACGGACUUCCUUAAGCCUUGAUGCUCCAACGGGUUAUACAGGCUAAGAGGUGGGGAUGAGUGCAGAUCCGAAGUGGGUGGGUGAGGAUCUCCCAGCCUCUCAGCCCUGGCACGGGGACUUGCUUUUCUCCAGGCUAUCUGGUUCUCUCUGUUUAUUCUCUGCCUGCUUUCCUUGUGUCUCUCGUUGUUUCUCUCUAAAUCUCCAUCUUUCCCUCUCUGUCCCUCUCCCCCUCCCUCCUUUCCUCUCUGUCUUUGUAACUCUCCCUCAAUUUUACUCAUUUUAGUGGUUCACUCUUUGGAUCUAGGACCUUGGUCAGCAUGAGCAUUGCACUCACAGAGAGGGUGACACGUUUCCUGAUGCCUGAAAGAGAGAAAUAAGAUGGCCCAGGAGACUCCAGGGCACUCUGCCCACUAAGCAUCUUUUUGUGAGUGAGAGGCCAUUUCUCCAGCUGUCCAUUGCAGCAUUCCACAACCCAGACUGCUGCUGUCCAUGCUGAUUGGUGUUUGAGAGGGCAGAAUGGACCCCUGAUUCACUUCCCAUCAGGAACACUUGCCACCAGGAAACCCCCUCAAUCUACUCUUCCCUUGCCCUUUAAGACCUUCUAUUUCAGGGUCCUCCCCCUGCCAGAUUGAAAGAUGACAGACUGAGGACAAGCCCUAAGGGGACAGAGAGUCUAAGGCUCCAUGUUCCAACUCUGCAAGCCCCACCUCAGCUCAACUCAACACCUUAGACCUUCAGCUCACAGUUCUCUACAGGACACUUGUGAAAACUUGGAAAAUAUUAAUUGCUUAACAGUCCGCUUGCAAGUUGAACAGGCAGAUAAGGAGGAAAAGCCUUUCUUCUUUGACAAGCUUUCCAUGAAACAUAACCCCAGAACACGAGUGCCCAGAUGUAUACAUUCCAGGCAUGAAAAUGAAGGAUAAUUCUCCAAAAAGACUGACUGGCCCUUGGGACAAGAUCCACAGAGACUUCAUCUGAAACGUUCUUCAUCAAUCAACUUCCUGAGGUCCCCACCAGAAGCAGAUGCUGGCACCAUGCUUCUUGUACAGCCUGCAGAACUGUUAACCAAAUAAACCUCUUUUCUUUAUAAAUUACCCAG